CACCUUCAAACCGAUGGACACAUUCACACAGACAGCAGCAGUAAGGCAGUGGCCCAGCAGGCUUUGGAGACGCGGAGACCAGUUCAUCAACAUCUCCGCAUGAUAAUCCUCCGAGCACCUGAAGCCAGCCUUGGGAGCUCACGGAGCUGAGGAGGCUGAUCUGCAGAGGUCAUUGAGUGGAGGCUGCCUGCGUUUAAAUGCCUGUAAAUCUGCACUCCCCGAGUGACCACAAGGAACUCACUGCAGAGCCGCCGAGAACCAUAUCAACCAGUCUGAUUGAUGGCAGUGUCCCAGCGAGCUAAUUACCUCCCGCAAGGUUCUACCACUUCCCAACUCAGCUACCCCGAGGAUCCAGUGUUCAGUGCAUAAGCCUUUGGGGGACACACUCAAAUCAUAGCUGUAAGCAGCUUCUUCAUCGACAACACAUCCAUUGCUCUUGGUGUUGAGCAGGGUCAACUCUCCACGGCCACGACUGGACUGCUCCUCUAGCCUCAUUGCCCACUGAUACCCAAAGGUCCUUGGAUUCCGUCACACUCAGUGGCCACCCUACUCCUGCUGUGUUGGUUGUGUUUGUCAUCCAAGGUUGUUCCUCGGGUGACAUGUGCCUACCAGGCUGUUUGUCUUCAAAACUGCUCAAACCAGCCAGCUCAGUGUGGCUCAGUUUGUAGAGCGCUUGCCUAGCAUGCACCAAGCCCCAAGUUUGAUCCUCAGCACCAUAUAAACCGGUAGGAGUCCCAUACACUGUGAUCCUAGGGAUCAGCAGGGAUGUGGAGGCAGGAUGGGAAGGGAAAUGUCACCUUCACUGUUGGGAUCCUGCCCUCACUCCGGCACAUGAGCAGCCUGAGGUCUUGCGUCUUAUGUCAUCGGCGGCCACGAGUGACUACGUACCCACCUUAAAACGCCAGACACAGAACCCCACACAUUCUCUGUUCCCUCUCUGCUCCCUGCCCUCUGCUCCCGCCAUCUUUCUUUCUCUCCAGGCCUGGCUCUCCUUCCUCCUAUCCUCUCCUUCUUUCUAAUAAAGCUCUUUGUAA